UACGAAGGGGGCUAGCGUUGCUCGGAAUGACUGGGCGUAAAGGGCGCGUAGGCGGUCUGGUUCGUCAGGCGUGAAAUUCCUGGGCUUAACCUGGGGACUGCGCUUGAAACAGCUGGGCUUGAGUGUGGAAGAGGGUCGUGGAAUUCCCAGUGUAGAGGUGAAAUUCGUAGAUAUUGGGAAGAACACCGGUGGCGAAGGCGGCGACCUGGUCCAUUACUGACGCUGAGGCGCGAAAGCGUGGGGAGCAAACAGG
rnacentral:rRNA from 1 species